rnacentral:rRNA from 2 species
GAACGAUGAAACUUUACUGACUUCUUCGGAAAGAUUUAAAGCGGAUUAGUGGCGGACGGGUGAGUAACACGUGAGUAACCUGCCUUGCACAAGGGGAUAGCCGUUGGAAACGACGAAUAAUACCCUAUGAAACUAUCACUUCGCAUGAAGCGAUAGUCAAAGUGUUAGCGGUGUAAGAUGGACUUGCGUCUGAUUAGCUAGUUGGUGAGAAAAAAGCCCACCAAGGCAACGAUCAGUAGCCGGCUUGAGAGAGUGUACGGCCACAUUGGGACUGAGACACGGCCCAGACUCCUACGGGAGGCAGCAGUGGGGAAUUUUGCACAAUGGGGGAAACCCUGAUGCAGCGACGCCGCGUGAUUUAGAAGGCCUUCGGGUUGUAAAAAUCUUUUGUAUAGGAAGAAAAUGACAGUACUAUACGAAUAAGGUCCGGCUAAUUACGUGCCAGCAGCCGCGGUAAUACGUAAGGACCGAGCGUUGUCCGGAAUCAUUGGGCGUAAAGGGUACGUAGGCGGGUCAUUAAGUUAGAAGUCAAAGGCUAUAGCUCAACUAUAGUAAGCUUCUGAAACUGGAGACCUUGAGUAAUGGAAGGGAAAGUGGAAUUCCUAGUGUAGCGGUGGAAUGCGCAGAUAUUAGGAGGAAUACCGGUGGCGAAGGCGACUU